CGGGCCGCUUCUGCUCUUUUUGCUUCUCGCGCUUAAUAAGAAGCUCAUCUUCAUCACGAGACGACGAGCCGAACCGCGCUGUGAGGUCACGAGGGCAGGUGGAGCGGAGCGUCCGCAGCCACGACCCCCCCAGAGGAGCGUGCGUCUCAACCUGAGGAUCAGGAGCUGGAGCUCGGCGUGAAGGUCUGUGAAGCUCAGCUUCCUAAUCAGAGGGGGAAUACCUGAACCAGAGCAGAGCCGCCGCCGCACAGUCCCCCCAUUGUGACGGCCCAACGGAGGAAUGCGAUUCAGCCGGAGAUACCGAGGGACACCGGGGUUGUUGGGGGGCUAAGGUACACCAGGCCAGGGGGUGAGGAGGGGGAGGCGCAGCGAGGGAGGUGCUCUGUCAGGGGAAAACCUGGAUUUGGAUUUGUCAGCUUCACUAAUCCAGCCUUUCAGGGAACGGAGUCCGGCGAACAGCCAGAGCAGAACCAGAACCUCAAAACCACAAUGCGCGUUUUUUUAUAGCAAAAAUCAAACGUUUCCUCUGAAAUCCACAAAAAGGGUCACAUUACAGCAGAUCCAGAAACUUUGAAAACCACAAACACAAACGUGUUUUGUCUUCUGCAAAACAAUGAAAAUUCACCCAAACGAAAGGAAGAAAACAAGCAAAAACAGGACAGAAGCAGAAACUCUACCUGUAUGAACCUCACCGCUCACCUGGAUGAUCACAGAACAACAGGAGAGGUUUUCUGUCAAAUUACUUUGAAACUUAAAGACAGUGGUAAAAAAAAAAAUAUUUUGAUUAAUCCUAACAGACAUAAAAGAACUGCUUGAAUUCCUGCCUGGUUUCAGGAAAACCGACAUGUUUCAAGAUUCAGGAUCUCCUUCAGACGAUUCCACAAAAAUGAGCCAUUUUACGUGACAAUGGAUCAAACCAAGUCCUGAAAGUCAGCAUCUGAUUUCUGUUGGGUGAAUAAAAGCAAAUCUUUAACAUAAAUACUAUGGUAAUGUCAGAUUUGAAAGGAACAAAGACCUUUUCUUGUUUUUAUGUUCUGAACCCAGUCUACCUAUCAGUAUAUUUUAGUGAAAAAUGAAUUCAAAGUCAUUUUUCUAUGGAAAAAGCAACAAAAGGAGAUUUGUUUUGAAGUUUUUAGACACAUUUUCUGAAGCAAACUGUGACAUUAAGGACAAUCUAGUGCUACAUUUCAGCUUAAAUAUUAAACACUUUAACUAUUAAUAUGUUUGAGCAAAAAAAAAAACAUUAAAAUUUUUUUUUUAUAAGAUUAACCACUAAAUUUGUAAAAGAGAAAAAAGAAGAUUUCAGCUCCUGAAACAAACUGCGAUCUAAUUGUUCUUUUAAGAACCACUGAUCAAUAUUAAUGUUAUGGAAAUAUUAUUUUUUUCUAUAUAUAUUUAUUGUCUUUUAACACAUGAACAUAAAAAUAAACACACAAAAACACAAUAUUUGGCAAAGAGACAAAUUACGUGGACAAGAAGUCAUAAUAAACCCAUACAGCAUCUAGAAGAGCAUAGAUUUAAAAUAAAUAAAUAAAUAAAAUUAGCAUUAGAACACAAAUGCUCCCUUAAAUAUGGUGGCAAUAUCCGAUUCUUUAUAUAACUUGAGAUGUUCCCAGGUCUGAAUAAAAAUAACAUAAAAUAAAAAAUAAUAAGGCUUCAUCUUUGUGAUGCAGUCUACUCGUCAAAUAACGGAGAGAAACAUCGUUUAGUAGCAUGAAGGGUUUUAUCUGACCCAUAAAAACCUAAUCUGAAAACAAAACCAAGAUUUUUUUACAGUCAGUACACGAACCGGAUCAGCAAACGGGAUAUGAAAUGUGUCCUAAAGACAGAAAUGUCCACAUUAAACAUGGGCCAGUUGAUCAGUUAGUUAACACAAAACUCCCUUAAAACCACUAGUUAACUUAAGUCAGAUGAUCUUUACUAAACUAAACUACUCACCCCCCCUUUUAUCAUCUUAAAGUUAUCAUCAGAAACAAAGAUCCUGAUGAUAACAGUCUUUUUACUCUUUGAUGACUACGUUUGAAUGAUUCAGUUUUAAUGAGUCUUUUUUUUAACAAAGUUGUAUUCAUUUGUUUGUAAAUUCAACUCUGUGGUUCUGUGGUUCUCUACCUGCUGGUUCCGGGUUGGUUAAUUUAGUUAGCUGCAAAUGAACAAAUCAGCUUUUAAACAUAUUGACAAUUAGUAUAGUAAUAAUAUACAUUUUUUUUCUAAUAUUUAAAGCUUUACAUUGUACAUGUUUCCAUAACAACAUUAAAAUAUUGCUAUAAAAUGAUUUUAGCUUUUGAAUCAAUAAGCAAAGAGGACAGUGGAAUAAAAAUGCAAAAAGAAAAUAAAAUGUUUUUUUCUACACCUAAAUUGAGGACGUUUGCACCAGUUUGACAGUUGCAGCUGCUGCAACAUCAGAUCCUGCUGCAUUCACGGCUCCUGAGGAGGACGGAUCAGAACCGCCGCAGGUGUUCUGGGUCGUGUUCCUCCUCAGCUUUUCACUUCAGUUUGUCGCUGCUCUGAAGCACGAAUGAAACAUUUAGGGCUGGAGCUUAACUGUUAAUGUGAUUUUUUUUUUCUACAUUUUUUUAUGGAAGUUUCAAAUCAAGCUUGAGGCUCUGAGUUGAAUCAGAGUUCAGUAACUUCACUGGAAAAAGUCAGAGUUUAGACAUUUUGUUGAAGGGUCAUUCUGAAACCAAAUCCAGUCUCAUCUCUGAGCUUUUGAACAUUUAUUCUAAAGAAACUCUCAGGUUGUUUAAAAAUGUUCCCAGAAAAAUUAUAUAAAAUUUGAUACAACUUUUAAAAGCUGAAAAAGAUCAAAAGUCUUCCUUAAAGUCCCCUUUCUACAGCCUUUUCUUAAAAACUGGACCGCUGUUUUUUCCAGGGUGACGGAUCUGUGUUUGAGAAACGGUGUGUUCUUCUCCUAGGAAGAAUGCUUUCACCAUCUUCAUUUUUGGGAAAUGUUGUCUGAUUUUCCACAGAGAAGAGGGAUUUUGGAAUGAGAGCCAGUGUGUUUGCGUCUCUUUGUGACGCAUACACACACCUCCUGUAGGGGGCGCUGUUGUGUUGGACUCUGAGGAUGGAGGUCGGCUGGAAGGAGGGCAGAUUUCCUCCCAGCAUCUCUGUUCAUGUUGGAAAUGUUUGUGAAUGUUUGUACUCCAGGUAUCUUUUGGACGACCAAAUGACGUUCAAAAAUAAACCAUUUAUUUAAAAUAUAUAUAAAAUGA